AACGAACGCUGGCGGCAUGUCUAACACAUGCAAGUCGAACGAAGGCUUCGGCCUUAGUGGCGCACGGGUGAGUAACACGUGGGAAUUUGCCUUUCGGUUCGGAAUAACGUUGGGAAGCCGACGCUAACACCGGAUACGCCCUUCGGGGGAAAGUUUACGCCGAGAGAGAAGCCCGCGUCCGGUUAGGUAGUAGGUGAGGUAACGGCCCACCAAGCCGAUGGUCGGUAGCUGGUCUGAGAGGAUGAUCAGCCACACUGGGACUGAGACACGGCCCAGACUCCUACGGGAGGCAGCAGUGGGGAAUAUUGGACAAUGGGGGCAACCCUGAUCCAGCAAUGCCGCGUGAGUGAUGAAGGCCUUAGGGUUGUAAAGCUCUUUCGCACGCGACGAUGAUGACGGUAGCGUGAGAAGAAGCCCCGGCUAACUUCGUGCCAGCCGCCGCGGUAA
rnacentral:rRNA from 1 species